AGCCUGUGAUGAGUUUAAUCUUCUGACACCUCGUAUGAACGCUGCUCCGGUGGCGCCUGAUUACAUGCAUUCUCUGAGGCUC